rnacentral:rRNA from 1 species
GACGAACGCUGGCGGCGUGCUUAACACAUGCAAGUCGAACGGUGAAGGGGCCUGCUUUUGUGGGUCCUGGAUGAGUGGCGAACGGGUGAGUAACACGUGAGUAACCUGCCCCCUUCUUCUGGAUAACCGCAUGAAAGUGUGGCUAAUACGGGAUAUUCUGUGCCUGCUGCAUGGUGGGUGUGGGAAAGAUUGCGCCCUUUUUGGGUGUUUUUGGUGGGGGAUGGGCUCGCGGCCUAUCAGCUUGUUGGUGGGGUGAUGGCCUACCAAGGCGGUGACGGGUAGCCGGCCUGAGAGGGUGGACGGUCACACUGGGACUGAGACACGGCCCAGACUCCUACGGGAGGCAGCAGUGGGGAAUAUUGCACAAUGGGCGCAAGCCUGAUGCAGCGACGCCGCGUGAGGGAUGGAGGCCUUCGGGUUGUGAACCUCUUUCGCCAGUGAAGCAGGCCUGCUCCUUGGUGG